rnacentral:rRNA from 1 species
CCUACGGGGGGCAGCAGUGGGGGAUAUUGCACAAUGGGGGAAACCCUGAUGCAGCGACGCCGCGUGGGUGAAGAAGCGCCUCGGCGCGUAAAGCCCUGUCAGCAGGGAAGAAAAUGACGGUACCUGAAGAAGAAGCCCCGGCUAACUACGUGCCAGCAGCCGCGGUAAUACGUAGGGGGCAAGCGUUAUCCGGAUUUACUGGGUGUAAAGGGGGCGCAGACGGCGAUGCAAGCCAGGAGGGAAAGCCCGGGGCCCAACCCCGGGACUGCUCUUGGAACUGCGGGGCUAGAGUGCAGGAGGGGCAGGCGGAAGUCCUGGUGUAGCGGUGAAAUGCGUAGAUAUCAGGAGGAACACCGGUGGCGAAGGCGGCCUGCUGGACUGCAACUGACGUUGAGGCCCGAAAGCGUGGGGAGCAAACAGGAUUAGAUACCCCGGUAGUC